rnacentral:rRNA from 1 species
AACGAACGCUGGCGGCAGGCCUAACACAUGCAAGUCGAGCGAGAACUUCGGUUCUAGCGGCGGACGGGUGAGUAACGCGUGGGAACGUGCCCUUUGCUACGGAAUAGCCCAGGGAAACUUGGAUUAAUACCGUAUACGCCCUUCGGGGGAAAGAUUUAUCGGCAAAGGAUCGGCCCGCGUUAGAUUAGGUAGUUGGUGGGGUAAUGGCCUACCAAGCCUACGAUCUAUAGCUGGUUUGAGAGGAUGAUCAGCCACACUGGGACUGAGACACGGCCCAGACUCCUACGGGAGGCAGCAGUGGGGAAUCUUAGACAAUGGGGGGAAACCCUGAUCUAGCCAUGCCGCGUGAUCGAUGAAGGCCUUAGGGUUGUAAAGAUCUUUCAGUGGGGAAGAUAAUGACGGUACCCACAGAAGAAGCCCCGGCUAACUCCGUGCCAGCAGCCGCGGUAAUACGGAGGGGGCUAGCGUUGUUCGGAAUUACUGGGCGUAAAGCGCGCGUAGGCGGGCUGGAAAGUUGGGGGUGAAAUCCCGGGGCUCAACCCCGGAACUGCCUCCAAAACUUCCAGUCUUGAGUUCGAGAGAGGUGAGUGGAACUCCGAGUGUAGAGGUGAAAUUCGUAGAUAUUCGGAAGAACACCAGUGGCGAAGGCGGCUCACUGGCUCGAUACUGACGCUGAGGUGCGAAAGUGUGGGGAGCAAACAGG